rnacentral:rRNA from 1 species
AUGAGGAGUAGCGGUCCUCUCGUUGGUUUGUUCGUGGUGCUCGUGGUCGUCGGCGGCGGGGCGGCGGCCGGGGCGCCCGGGAGGUGCACGACGUCGACGCCGGUGAAGGCGUACGCCAAGUGCAUCGCGCUGCCGACGCAGGGCGCGACGCUGGCGUGGACGUACGACGCACGCAACGCCACGCUGGACGCGGCCUUCACGGGGUCCUUCAUCUCGCCGUCGGGCUGGGUGGCGUGGGGCGUCAACCAGGACGCGCCGGCCAUGGCCGGGGCGCGCGUGAUCGCCGCCUUCUCCGACCCGUCCACGGGCGCGCUGCUUGCGCUCCCCUUCGUGCUCUCCGCCGACGUCAAGCUCCAGGCCAAGCCCCUCGUGUCCCGCCCGCUCGACAUCCCACUGCUCGCCUCCUCGGCGUCCCUCAUCGCGCCGGCCCGCACCGUCCGCGACGGCGCGUCCGUGACCAUCGCCGCCACCAUACGCCUCUCCCCGAACCGCACCAGGGUCCACUUCGUGUGGAACCGGGGCCUCUACGUGCAGGGCUACUCCCCGACCAUCCACCCCACCGACGCCUCCGACCUGGCGUCGCACGCCACCGUCGACAUCCUCACCACGGCCACGGAGUCCUCCCCCAUCGCGUCCGCCAGGCUGCAGUGGGCGCACGGAUCCCUCAACGCGCUCUCCUGGGGCCUCCUGCUCCCCGUGGGCGCGGCGCUGGCGCGGUACCUCCGGCCCUGCGCGUCGGCAGGCCCGGCGUGGUUCUACGGGCACGCGGCGGUGCAGGCGACGGGGUACGCGCUGGGGGCGGCCGGGUUCGCGCUGGGGAUCGCGAUGGGGGCGGCGUCGCCCGGGGUGACGUACAAGCUGCACCGCGGGCUGGGCAUCGCAGCGGCGACGGCGGGGAGCCUGCAGACGCUGGCGGUGUUCUUCCGGCCCAAGACGACGAACCGGUACCGCAAGUACUGGAAGUCGUACCACCACCUGGUGGGGUACGGGUGCGUGGUGGUUGGGGUGGUGAACGUGUUCCAGGGCUUCGAGGUCAUGGGGCUCGGCGCCUCCUACUGGAAGCUCGGGUACUGCAUGGCGCUGGCGACGCUCGUCGGCGGCUGCGUGGCGCUGGAGGUGAACGCCUGGGUGGUGUUCUGCCGGCGGCAGCACGAGGAGAAGCUCAUGCGGCGGGAGGUCGAGGACGUCGUCGUCAAGGACAGGGCCGCCGCCUUCUAG